AGAUUACCAUCAAAAUGGAAAAACCAAACCAAACCAAACCAAUACUCUUGUGGAGAAAUGGAGACCCCCAGGAAUUCAAAUCCUCUCUCACUUUGGUAACCCAGUGCCUGGCACAUAUACAGUGGGUGCUCAGUACAUGUUUGUUUCUGAAUUAGGGAAAGACUCGAAUGAGGGAAGUGAAGGCAGUCACCCACUCCUGUGUGUUAGGUCAGUAUGGUGGGGGCAGGUGAGAUGCUGGGAUCUAGAGGUAUUGUGGACCCCCAGGGCUCACCGUGGUACUCCAGCUCUGGGGCACCUUCAGGGAACAAUUAGGAGCAGGGAUGGUUGGGCCUGGGAUGUCAAGUCUGGAAAGGAUGACCUAAUUAUCAGCACAGUGGGUAGAGGGUAGGGCCGAGAUUCCUGCCAUUGGGAUUGCACCAGAAACUGGGACUGCCCAGCCCUGCAGCUGGCCCUGUAGGUAAAAACAGAUCUGGGCAAACCGGUCCAGUGUGGAGACAGGGAAUGAGAUAAACUCCACCUGAAAAAUGGGACGAAUCACACCAGAUACAUUCAUAUGAAUACUGUCACUGCCUCUAUUUUGCUCAAUUGGGGGAAAAAUUAAUUUUAACCUGAAAUUUAAGGCAAACAGUACCCAAUACAAUAACAAGUUUCUCCAACAGAACAAGGCGACCCACAGGUACAGCCAUGUAGCCCAGUGGUAUACAGAUUCCUGGGCCCCAGGCCCAGGAGGUUAGGAUUAAGUCUCUUUCAGAGCCCUGGUAUCUGUAUUUUCAACAAGCCCCAAUCCCCCACCCCCACCGGGUGAUUCUGGUGCAGGACUCUGUGCUGGGUCUUAGCAAGAGAGGCAAUUGUUUCCCAUCCUCCCUCACUUUCUGCCCCACAUUCAGUACCUGCUAUCUUUUUCCGGUAAUUAAACCUUCCUCUUGUGCCCCAGUUUUACUCACUGGGCACCUGCAUUGUUCCCCUCUGCCAGAAUCCACGUUGGUAUUUGUCUCUUUGUUCCUCUGGAAUCAGACUUCCAGGCUGCACCCUGGACUUGGGUCUCAUCUGAGCUCUGCCCGUUUCCUGCUAUCGUACUUCCUGAAACUGCAGGGGUCACGCAGACUGGUGGCCCCUGCCUACCCUCGGCCCCGCUGUCUAAGCAGCCACGCUGGGUCCCUGGGGCACCAUUUCUCUCCCUACCCUCGGCUGAUUGGAUAAGUUUGACCCCAAAACAUUCCGCCCUGGUCAGGCUAGCGGCGUGUGUUGCUGGGAGACAGGAGCUGGUUCCUUCAUUGGGAAUUUGGAAAUUUGGAGUCCAGCGAUGGGUACUGAAAAAGCAUGAGGAACUUAGGUGUUAGUUUCAUAGUUUUGUUGGAUUUAUUACAUAGUUGUUAAAAAUUAAGUUCCCGUAACAAGUAGUUUAAAGGAACAUAAUAAAAAGUACAGACAGCAGAAAAGAGAACGGCCGGUUCUCAACUGCAUCAGUUCCUCUUUCCUGAGAUCGAGCUGUUUAGCUUAGCCUGGGAUUCUGAGCCUGUGGUCGUUUCCUUAGGUCUUGUUUUUCAAAGGCGGCAGGUCCUGGCUAGAACAGCUCAACUGCCUGUCUCCACACACUGUGUCCCUCCGCACCCGCCUGGACGACCCCUCGCCCCUGCCAGCAAAGUCCAUAUCACGUCAUUUCUCUUACUGGGAUGGAGUUUCCUCCCCUGUGUGGGAUGUGGCCCCAGGGGCUUGGGCACCCUCAUUUGGGCAUGAGCCCAUCCCAUGGCCAGCCAUGCUCGUGAUGUGGCCUAAUUUUAUGCUUGUAAAAAGUUAAGUUUUAAUGUCUUAAUUUUAAAAAUACAUUUUAAAUGUCAUUUUGAAGAGAUUGCGGGUGGGGGGAGGGGGGUCUCACUAUAUUGCCCAGGCUGGUGUUGAACUCCUGGACUCAAGUGAUCCUCCCGCCUCCACCUCCCAAAGUGCGGGGAUUACAGGCGUGAACCACUGCAGUGGGCCUCUUAAGUUUUAAUUUCUGAUCUGUUCUUAUAUUUUGGAGAAGCAAUUUCACUUCCUAAUUUUUUAAAAGACUGGGAACCAUAAAUAUGAACCUUCUCCAUUUCUGUCCUUUUAACAAACUUCAGAAUUACCCAUGGAAAUAAGUGUGAUUUAAGAGGAAAUGACAUUUUUCCUUUUCAGGAUGCAGAAAUUUUUAGUUGAAGUCCUGAUUAUAUGGAAAUUCCUGCAUAACUUUUGGUGGCGGGGCAGAGUAGAAAACAAAAGGGUUCCCUAAUAGAUUUGUUAUGUAAAAAUUGCUAACCUUUAUUCUUUCUAUACCCUGCCAUUAUAGAGUGACAAUCCAUAAAAUCAUACUUCCUGUCAAUGCACAGGCAGUGCCUGUCAUAUUUCACCCUCCUAGAAGUCAUUAGCCGGGUGCAGUGGCUCAUGCCUGUAAUCCCAGCACUUUGGGAGGCCAAGGCAGGUGGAUCACGAGGUCAGGAGUUCAAGACCAGUCUGGCCAAUAUGGUGAAACCCUGUUUCUACUAAAAAUACAAAAAUUAGCCAGGCAUGGUGGUACGUGCCUGUAGUUCCAGCUACUCAGGAGGCUGAGGCAGGAGAAUCACUUGAACCCGGGAGGCAGAGGUUGAAGUGAGCUGAGAUUGUGCCACUGCACUCCAGCCUGGGUGACAGAGUGAGACUCAGUCUCAAAAACAAAAACAAAAACAGGAAGUCAUCAUUGGUGUGUGAUUAGUGCGUACCUGUUUUUCAUUCUAGAUCUAUCUUUUCCUUCUUUUUUCUCCUUUGCUUUUCCCUUGUGUGUUCAUCUCUUCAGCAGUUGAACCAGGUUGUUCUUGAAAAGAGUCUUUUUUUUUCUUUUUCUUUUUUCUUUUUUUUUUUGAGACAGAGUCUCACUCUGUAGCCCAGGCUGGAGUGCAGUGGUGCGACCUCAGCUCACUGCAACCUCUGCCUCCCGGGUUCAAGCGAUUCUCCUACCUCAGCCUCCUGAGUAGCUGGGACUACAGGCACGCACCAUCAUGCCCAGCUAAUUUUUUUUGUAUUUUUUAGUAGAGAUGGGGUUUCACCAUAUUAGUCAGGCUGGUCUCGAACUCCUGACCUUGUGAUCCGCCCACCUCAGCCUCCCGAAGUGCUGGGAUUACAGGCCUGAGCCAUCGCACCUGGCUGAAACAGCAUCUUACCUCAGGGUCAGACUUGCGUCUGCAGUGGCUGCUGUUGCAUCACUGUGGCCUUUACUGGGCCGAGUUCUCUCCAGUUGAAAGGCAAAAUUGUUCAAGAGCCCAUGCUCUUGCUGUCUGAGACAACCAUCCAGCCCUGGGACUUCUGCUUUUGCUGGAGCUGGAAGAUGGCACCAAUGAUGAUGUUUGAGUGUGUUCUUGUUGGUAUGUUGGAAUAUAAGACACAUUUCUUGGCUGGGCAUUUGGCUCAUGCCUGUAAUCCUAGCACUUUGGAAGGCUGAGGCAGGAGGAUCGCUUGAGGCCAGGAGUUUGAGACCAGCCUGGGCAACAUAGGGAGACCCUGUCUCUACAAAAAAUAAAAAUUAUUAGCUGGGCAUGGUGGCACACACCUGUAGUCCCAGCUACUUGGGAGGCUGAGGCAGGCACAUUGAUUUAGCCUGGGAGGUCGAGGCUGCAGAGAGCUGUAAUUGUUCCACAGCACUCCAGCCUGAGUGACAAGUGAGACUGUCUCAAAAAAAAAAAAAAAAAAAGAGAUAAGAACCAUUUAUUGACAGUGACCUAACUGUAAGACUCCGUGCUGGGUGCUAUAAAUAGGUGAAGGACAACUUUUCCUUACAAUAAUAAAAGAGAAAAACAAUUUAUAAAAAUAAUAUAACCCAAUGCCCAGUGAAGGAAGUCCCACGCACUCUAGUUACCAAAUCUCAUGACACGUAUAAGAGAAGAAAUUAUUAGGAUGACUUCUGUAGGAUACAAAAUUCUGGAGCUGGUAGAAAGUUUGGAGAUUGUUCCAUGUAUGGACUUUGCAACCCACACUAAGCACUAGAUUUUACACUGAGACCCAGUACACAUGGACAUAGAUAUGUAGCUGAAACAUAUUUUACAAACAAUAUUUCCUUGCCACGUGCAAUGCCCUCUCACAUAUUCCAUUUUAUUCUAUUAUUUUAAAAUGCUGUUUGCAAGCCACUACAUUGAUUUCCUGGCCCAUGAAAAUCAAACUGUUGUCUGGAGUUUGAAAACACUGAUUUGGUGCAGCUCCUCACCUACGCAUUAUAUCUCUGAGGCCCAGGAAGGCAGUGUGGCAUAGCUCAAGCUUCACACCACAGUGGGGGCCCAGAGCUUACUGUCAUUUUCUUCUCUUACCAUGUUGGGUCACAAGCUUGGGAAAGUUCUUGGAGGUGAACACCAGCCAGGUAGAACAAAAUGACCUAAUGGCUGAUGUCAGGAUUGCUGGCUUCCAUUCUCGAUGGGCAGCUGAAAUAUAUCUUAUGGCCUCAUGUGGGCUUCCUUUUCCUCUGACCAAUGGUUUGUUCUGGUUUGCCUUGAACUGAGCAGUUUCCUGGGACGUGGGGCUGCCAGUGCUGAAACCGUGACAGUUCCAUGCAAACUGGGACAGUUAGAGGACAUUUAUGCCCUACUACCCAUGGUAAAUGAGGGAACACCAUUUGACCUCCAUGUGCAAACAGCCACAGGCACAAACAGCUAUGAUUUUGAUCCUUGGUAUGUUAUUUUGACAACCACUGGGGAAUGAAUUAUCUCUGCAAGACAAUACAAACCCAGUGACAUAGACUCUUUCCUGUGUGUACCACUAUUCCCUGUGCUACCAGAAAACCCCACUUCGACCCUUCUCUACGAUAUUUUCCAGAAUUGGCUUAGAAGUAUUGGCCUAGGAAUCCUUGUGGUUGCUUCUGGUUGUCUUAAUAGGUUGUAGAUAUUCUCCCUCCUCCUCUCAACCCCAAGGUUGUAGAUAUUCUCCCUCUUCCCCUACCCAGGUUCAGUAACUUGCCCAAGGUUGUAGAUAUUCUGAUGCAAUGAAUGAGUCUAGUGAAAAGGACUGGUUGUAAGAAAUGUUAAGAAAUGAUGACUCAGCCAGGCACGGUGGCUCACGUCUGUAAUCCCAGCACUUUAGGAGGCUGAGGUGGGUGGAUCACGAGGUCAGGAGUUGG
rnacentral:lncRNA from 1 species